GACGAACGCUGGCGGCGUGCUUAACACAUGCAAGUCGAGCGGUAAGGCCCUUUCGGGGGUACGACGAGCGGCGAACGGGUGAGUAACACGUGGGUGACCUGCCCUCAGCUCUGGGAUAAGCCUGGGAAACCGGGUCUAAUACUGGAUAUGACUCCAUGACGCAUGUUGUGGGGUGGAAAGCCUUGUGCGGCUGAGGAUGGGCCCGCGGCCUAUCAGCUUGUUGGUGGGGUGGAUGGCCUACCAAGGCGACGACGGGUAGCCGGCCUGAGAGGGCGACCGGCCACACUGGGACUGAGACACGGCCCAGACUCCUACGGGAGGCAGCAGUGGGGAAUCUUGCGCAAUGGGCGAAAGCCUGACGCAGCGACGCCGCGUGAGGGAUGACGG
rnacentral:rRNA from 1 species